CUUGGAGAGGACAAUAAAGUUUCUAAAGUUUGAAAACGGAGCAGAAAAGCCCGCGCCCCCUCAGUGGCCGGGCUGUGGACGCCCGCGGCCCUGGAGCAGGCCCGGAGCUCACGCAGGUGCGGUCGCCGCGGAAUGGGCGUCACGGUGGACGUGCGCCAGGUGUACCAGUACCCCUUCGAGCAAGUGGUCUCCAGCUUCCUCCGAAAGUACCCCAACCCCAUGGAUAAAAAUGUCAUCUCUGUAAAAAUUGUGGAGGAAAGAAAAGAUGAAACAACAGGAAUCAUCUACAGAAAGAGGAUCGCAAUCUGUAAGAAUGUGAUUCCAGAAAUUUUAAGGAAGGUGAGCAUUUUAAAGAUUCCUAGUAUCCAGUUAGAAGAAGAAUCAUGGCUCAAUCUUCAGGAAAGAAACAUGGCUAUACGGAGUCACUGCCUUACAUGGACACAGUAUGCAUCCAUGAAGGAAGAGUCUGUCUUCAGGGAAAGUAUGGAAAAUCCAAAUUGGACAGAGUUCAUUCAAAGAGGCAGGAUUUCAAUCACAGGGGCUGGAUUUCUCAACUAUAUUUUGGAAACUUUUGCCAGCACAUUCUUAAGACAGGGAGCCCAGAAGGAGUCUGGGUUCAGCUUACUUGGGUCUACUUUAAAGUCUCACAAGAACAUAAUCAAGGUUUUGGCUGGUGCUGCAAACUCAUCUGAAGGCUCGAUGGGAAAAUUCCACUCCAGAUUCACUUGUUUCUGGGAAUUAGAAUAAUGGAGAUGCUGCUAAAGGAACAGUGUGGUGCCCCCUUAGUGGAAUAAAGAAUCAUCAGGCAGCUGUAUCGUGUUUGCUUUUUUUUUUCUCUUCUUCGAGAAUCACUUCUUGGCUACAGCAUUGGCGCAGUUCCUGGAGUACAGGUUUGAGGAUAUAGUGUUAGCAGCUCAAAGAAGAGGACACUUUCCUAUCAGAACAUAAAAUGACACAUUCCCCUUGGAGCCUGCUUCAAGUAGUGGGACUCAUGGAAAUGAGACUUUCUAGUUGGAUUUUUAUGGUGCAGUGUCUUUACGAUUUUACAAAUAAAGGAAAAACCCAUAUAAGAUGAUGCCGGUCCUCCUCGGGGUGUCCUCCUGGUCAUCUGAGAUGGUGUCAGGGCAGCCAGGGGCAGGAUAAAGUUCUGCAGAGGUGCUUGUGCUCAUGUGUUAUCAGCAUCAUUGCUCAUAGGAUUCAUGAGAGGAUUCUGGAACAAAUAAAGUUGCUCACCCUGAUAUGUGAUUUUCUAGGGAUCCUGGGACAGACAGGCUUAUGUCAGACCUGUGCUGAAACUAAACUAUAUUUAUUUCUAUCCAAAAGUGAUGCAUAACUACCAUUCCUAUUGCUUUUAUAAUGUAACACAUGAACUGUCCUUGGUCCUCUGAAAGGACAGGAAGCGUAGAGUAGAAAGCAGGCUCUUGCCUGGCUCCUUCUGUCUUGUUCUGUGAUAUGGGGCAUAUCAUUCACCUCUCUUUUUAACUGGGAAAAUCAGGCUCUCAGGUGUGGAUCUUUCUGCUGUGAGUUAUGAUGACUAAAUAAGAUAGUUUAGUUUGAAGAAUACAGGUUUGGGAGUUAGACAGACAGACAUAAGUUUGAAUCCAAGUGCUGCCACCUACUAUUUAGUGAUCAUAAACAUAAUUUUAUAUCUUUCUGAAGCUCAUUUUAAAAAAUUUAUAAAAUGUGAUAAUGGGAUUAACUGUGUGAUUCCUGGUGCCUUGUAGAGGUUCAGUAAAUAGAUUUUUAUUUGAAACCAUUUUGAAAAUACACCUUUCAACUAUAAUGUAAAGUGGUAUUACUGUUUGAAAAUUAGAUGACAGUAGCUUGCAUUUCCCAUGAUGGGAAGCCAAAAUAUAAAUGCACUCUACCUGAGAAGUAAUAAUUUGGAAUUCAUCUUCUUAAGAUAAAAAUUGAGCCAUUACUGGAAAGUCUUGGGGAAAUUGUUCUUUUUUAAUAUUUGAAAAUUUUUCUACUUAGUGCAUUGAUGAAUUUCAAAGCAAUUGUACUUUUUGGUACAAACCUGCCACUGCAAGCCUUCUUUUAUUUUGUUUGAGCUAUUUGUGCUGCCUGAGUUUUGUCUCUUGGGAUAAUUUCCCUUUAUUUCCGUAGUGUUUUAUUCCUCAGUUGUGUUGGAGGGAAAAAUGAAUAGUAGAAAUCAGAAUACAUUUUGACCUUCUUUUCCAGUUUGUAAAUGCCAUUUGGUAGGUUUUUGGAAUUAUAGCCUUUCCCCAAAAGUAAGGAGUGAUGUGAAUUGUCAUGGAGGUGAGAGGCAAAAAAUUUGUAUUUGAAGACUGAUAAUAGAAUAAAUGUAACCAUUCAUACUCAACAACUUGCAUUCUCUCCAAAGGUCAGAGUUCUCAUCAUUGCUGUCCAUUUGGGGGGACUUUAUGCUAUCUUGACGUUGGGGUUGCAUCCCAGACUAAGAAAUCAGAAUCUCUGGGGAUGGAUCCCAGGCAUCGUAUUUUUUAAGCUCUCCAGUUGAUUCCAAUGGGUAGCUGAGGUUGAGAACUCUACAACAAAUUCCAGGGAAUGUGCAGACUUUAUUUAAUUUCUUCCUAAUACUGCUGAGGUAGGAAAGGAUCUUUCUAGUGGGAUUUUUUUUUUUCUAGAAAUAGAGUGAGGCACAGAGAGACCCACACUCUGGCUUGAUUCCUCGAAGGCCAGGUGGCCAGUGCAAAUGCAUGCGGGGACCUGGUAGCUGGUUUAAUGAGUGAAGUAGGCUGGGGCCACUACGGAGACCCCCAGGAAUACAUGCCUGACUGAAAGUGAGCAGCUGCUGCCCAGCUCCCUCACUGUGUGGCUAUGUGGCUGUAAUUUUCCAUGAAAAGACAAACAUUUUUAAAAAAGAAAUCUCUUAAUUUCUUUAUGUUGGCAGCAAAUUGGCAUUGUUUGAAACCUUACACUGUCAACACAUGUUUGCCAGCCUGAACUUUUAGCCUGGGCUUCUAGGGUGUUGAGGACAGGGCUAAACAUCCCAGCCAACUUUUAAUAGAUUUGCAUUUUUGUAUUCUGGACAUAGCUGCAUUUUGCCUUUCUUCCACAACUGCUUUCAAAUGCAUUUCCUUCCUCAUUCCCAAGUAAUCCUCUGGACCCUUGUCAAACACUUUUCCUCAGUAUUUUUACCCCUGCAGGCAUUUAUUGAGUCCAGCUUCACAUAUGUGGUUUAGAAAUCUUACAGACUUUUAAAAAUUAAUUAGGGCAUAUUAGAUUUUUAAAAAAUUAUAUGUAUUUUAUAGAUGCUCAUAUUUAACUUUAUUAUCUGCAGUGUAGCAUAAGAAAUGUCAAAGCGAGAGGAGUGUUACUGGGCACACUAGGGACAAGAGUAGGGAGGGUUAAGUCAUAGACCUGGCCAUUCUCCUCCUGACUGGGUUGCUGAAGCUGCACAUCAGAGUGAAGGUGUCCUGUGUGACUCAGACUGCCAUGUGUACCAGGCACCCUUAGGGAGGGGUACAAAAAUGCAGGUCCUUAUGUCCUUCCCCUGGAAUUCUGACUCAUGUAGUUUCACUUGGGAUACAGGAUCUGCAUUUUGAAACCAGUUCUCCAGGAGAUUUGGUUGUUCUGUUUCACAGACCACAUUUUGAGAGACACUGAUUUGACGGAGAUAUUUUUUGUCUCUAUGUCUCCUGUUAUUUAAGAAGGUUUCACAGUCAUUAGGGCUCAAUGAUCAACACAGUUGAUUGCUGAAGACACAAUAUAAAGUUCUUGUGCAGAGAGGAGCUGACUUAACUUAUCCUUACAUGAUUGAGAUUCUUUCACCAGAAAAGGUGUUAUGAUUUAAAUCAUAUAUGGGUUAAAAAGGUGCUGUAUUCUUUUUAUAUGAAUUAUUUUGUGUAUUUUAGAAGCAGUAUAUAUGUAAUAAUUUUCUAUUUGUCAGACAUUGCAGGGUGCAUGGUAAAGGUAAUUCAAGAUUUUAAUUUGCGUACUUUUUUAUUUCAACCAUUAACAUGGAAUUAGUUCUCAAUUUAAUAUACAUUUCCUUGCUUUUUGUAAACAGAAUCUACUGAAGAUAAUUAAAUCUCUUCAGGAUCAUCAUUUGUGUUUUUAAUUCUUUCAGGUCCUACUUAGGUUAGUUGAAUCUCCUAUGCUGAAUAGCCCCCAAAAUGUGUUUGCUCUUUGAUUUCCUAAAUGGGGUUUAGAGAUUUUUUUUUUCCCUCACUGUUACCUGUCAUUUCUGGGCCUGCCUGUAGGAGAUUUCCUCUAAUUUUCCAGGGGGUUGGGAAAUCAUGUAAUAGUACACUCUAUAGCAAGUAACAGUAAACAGCAUCUGAAUGAGACUUUGAGAGGCCUUUCUAGCAUUAAAAUGAAUGAACUAGGCUACAUUCAUUUGUGACAUUAUUUUAGUGGUUCACGUACCUUUCUCUGGCUUAUUUCCUGAUCUUUAAAUGCAACUGUCAGAUCUGUGAUCUCAAGAUAAGUGACAUACAGCUAGAAAUCAUUUCUCUUGAUGUAUAAGCUAUUGUUUCCCCCAAUUGUGUUGGUGUUUUUACAUAUAUUCUUUUUUAUAAUGUGAAACAGAAGUAGAUUAAAAUUCAAAUGAAAAUUUCUCAGGCCAGAUUUUUAUACAAGAUAAAGUGUUUUUAAUUCAGUGUUAGUGUGAUUUAGAGCUAUAAAUUAGUUGUAUGCCUAUGAAAUUCCACCCUACAGUCAUUCUGAAAUAAAGAUUUUACAACUAA